CUCCAUAAAUUUAGAUCAAGAACCACAGUUGACAACAUCCACCCACCCCUCAAUUAAACUUCCCCAAAUCCUUCAAAAAAAUUAAAAAUCUCAUGGCAGCUUCUUCUUCAUCAUCAUCUUUACAUACAAUCAGACAUCACAACACCAAAUACGAUGUUUUCAUAAGCUUCAGAGGUUCAGACACUCGUUAUUCCUUCACCGACCAUCUCUUUGAAGCCUUAGUAACCGCAGGUAUCAAAACAUUCAGAAACACCAAAAACCCACAAGACCCGAAACCCGAAACGGUAAUCGCAGAAUCCCGGGCUUCGAUUGUCGUUUUGUCGAAAAACUAUGCGAAUUCGGUGUCGUGUCUUGAUGAACUAGUGUUGAUUAUGGAAAGGAGGAAAAGGUUUUAUCAUAUUGUUGUGCCUAUAUUUUAUUAUGAUGUUGAUCCUUUAGAUGUUAAGAUGCAAAAGAAUAGUUUUGAGUUGAGACUUGAUAGGUUAGGGUUUGAAAAUGAUAUAAAAUUGGGGGAGGCGAAAAUCGAAAGAUGGAAGGAAGCGCUUUCGGAUGUUGCGAAUUUGAGUGGCAAGGUUCUUUCUGGGCCCGAAACAAAGUUUAUUGCGGAUAUAGUUAAUACCAUUACCAAUAAGCUACGUCUUAAGUUAGUUUCUAUUCCCCCUCAUUUAACUGGAAUGGACACUCGAGCUGAAGAUAUCAAUUUCUGGCUGAAAGAUAAGGAAGAUGCUGAAGUUCUCGCAAUUUGUGGUGUGGCAGGAAGUGGAAAGACAACACUGGCCAAAUAUAUUUAUGAAUCCAACUUGCCUAAAUUUGAAAGCAGCAGUUUUCUUGAAGACAUUGGAAAGAUCUGUGAACAACCUUAUGGUUUGUGUACCUUACAGGUACAACUUCUUGCAGAAAUUUUGGGGGACAAGAAAAAAGAACUCGAUGUUACUUCGUAUAAAAGUCAGAUUGAGAAGGCAUUAGAAAAGAAAAAGGUGCUCAUUGUUCUCGAUGAUAUUGAUAAAAAAGAGCAGCUAGAAGCUUUAAUUGGCAUGGAACAGAUUAAUACAAAAAGCAAGAUUAUUAUAACAAGCAGGCUUUCAUCUGUACAAUCAUUGUUUGGUUCUACACACCAUAGGUGUAAAGAGCACACACUUAAGUUAUUGAAUGAACAUGAAUCGUUAGAGCUUUUAUGUUGGCAUGCCUUUGGAUCCAAACUUCCUAUGGAAGGUUUCAAGGAGCUUGCAUUAAAAGCAGCACAAUAUUGUUUAGGAAACCCUCUGGCUCUUAAAAUGUUGGGUUCUUUAUUUGUUAGUGCCAAAGACUCGAGGAAAAGAAAUAACAUAGAAUACUGGACGAAUACAUUGAAUUUGUUAGAAAGAGAACCUAAUUACAGAAUACAAGGAAUCCUUAGAAUGAGCUUCGAGUAUUUGCCAUUCAUCACUUACCGAGAGUUAUUUUUGCAUAUUGCUUGUUUCUUUGUUGGAGAAGAUGAAGAUUAUGUGGUGAAGAUAUUGGAGCCUGAUUAUUGUGCAACAGCUGGGAUCGUAACCCUAAUUGACAGAUGCCUUCUUACUGUUUCACCAAGCAAAAAACUGAUGAUGCAUGGGCUGUUUAUAGAGAUGGCGAGAAGGAUGGUGGUUGAAGAAUCACCCACAAACCCUGCAAAACGUAGUAGAAUCUGGUCUAAUGAUGACUCAUACACUUUGUUGAGACAAGGAGUGGGUUCAGAAACUAUAGAAGGUCUAGCACUUGACAUGCGAAUGGUGAGGGAAGAAAAUCAUAAGAUGCCAUCAGCCUUCAAUGCAGAUUCACUUGCAAAGAUGGAUAAUCUAAAGCUGCUACAGCUAAACUAUGUGAAAUUAUCUGGAUCCUAUGAUGAUUUUCCAGAAGAUCUGAGAUGGCUUUGCUGGCAUGGUUUUCACUUAGGAGCUGUACCAUCUGAGUUAUUCAUGGGGAACUUGGUAGCUAUCGACAUGAGUUACAGCAAAUUGGAGCUAUUUGAACCGCCCAUGGUAAUUAGACCGCUGAAGAUUCUAAACUUUAAAGACUCGCAUAGUCUAGUUGAAAUUCACAAUAUUUCCCGACUUCCUAAUCUCGAGACAUUGAUUCUUUGGAACUGUUACAGUUUGGUUCAUGUUUCUGAACCCAUUGGAGAGCUUAUGAGUCUUGCUCAAUUGAACAUGACAGGAUGUGAACACCUAUUAAAAGCCUUAGUGUUAGGGGGUCAGAGUCCUCAACUGGCGUUUUCUUUUCCGCACCUAUUAGAGCGGCUAUUGCUGAAAAGUUGCAAUCUUGAUUGUAACAAUAAUUUUUUGAGCUUCCAAGAACAAUCGCUUUUGCAACAUUUGCACUUAGGGAAUAAUAUAUUUGAGUCCUUACCUGAUUUUAAUCAUCUUAAAAGUCUCCGGGUCCUUGACUUAAGUUUUUGCACAAAUCUUAAGUGUAUCCAUUGCCUCCCGAGUACACUAGAAGAGUUGUAUAUUACCUGUUGUAAGUCAUUGGAGAAAGUAACCUUUCAGUCACGGCGGUUCAGAUUGCAAAAGAUUGAUUAUGAAGGUUGUACUAGUCUCUUGGAAAUUGAAGGCCUUCUAAUGUUGGUGCCAAUAUCCAAGAUUAAAGAAACAAAUCUGAAACAUAUGAAGUGGCUCAAACUGUAUCAGAAUCAUGAGCUGUGCUUGAUUGGUGAUUUACAGCUUACAGUAGGCAGAAGUUGGUAUAUUCAGAUGCUGUCUGAAUUCGGUAUAAUGAGCACAUUUCUGCCAGUUAUCAAGGAUCACAACAUAACAUGUGAAUACAUGGCACCAUCCUCAUGCUUAUCCUUUGAUGUGCCUCCACGUUCUGAUACUCACAUGCUCAUAGGAUUAAAUGUGGCAUUCAAGUAUACAUUAUCUGGUGAUGAGCAACAUAUCUGGCCGAUAUUUGCUAAAGUAAGUAACAGAACCAAGGGCCGGGAUUGGAUUUACAACCCCAUGGUCUUUGGCAGGCCUGUAGAUGGUAAACUUGCUAUAUGGUUUAGUUAUUGGGCAAUGGAUAACUUAUUAGAAGUAGGUGAUAAAGUCAAUAUCUCGAUUAUUGUGGAGAGUGGGUUAGAGGUACAUGGGUGUGGUGCAAACCUUGUGUAUGAUGAAGAUAGUUUAGAAAAGGGCACCUGGCAAAAUAAUACAGAAUGGGAUGAGACUAUUAAUGGAGACCUGUCUGCAUUUCAGCUAAGCAUGGAAACAUACUAUCUAUGUCGUCGUGAUUUCUUCAAGUCAAUGGAGGUUGAUGGACCCACCCCUAGUUGGUUUCGGGAUUCGGUUGGUUAUAAAUUUGACUAUACAGAGAUACAAGGUUGGAGAAAAACAGGCCGGCCUCAGAAAUUGCAACCAUAGUUGACAGAUUUUGGAAAUUCUGUUGGUGCUAUCUGUGGCCUUUAAUUGGCAUUGGCUACUCUACGUAAGAAGGGGUCCCAGCUGCCGAGACCAGUUAUUUGGAACAUCCUUGCUAUAAAUCAUACAUGAUGUGAUGGUCUGCAGUUUUUGUGUUUCGACAUUCAGUAUCACAGAUUCACAGGGCUUCAUUGAAUAGAAUAGCUGAAUACGAGCUACAAGAAGUCGAGAACACCAAACUAACUAUAGUUUUUUAAGGGUUCUAAUUAAAGGAUUUGUCGUGUAGUAUACCAAAUUGCACUAAUAAAUAUAGCUGACGAGCCCACUAGGCCACUACUCAGAUUGUUCAUGAGACCGAUCGUACCCUUUUACAAUAGAAAAAGAUUUUGAAGACAAAAGAGCUAAAGGUAUCGCCGAUUGGGAUUCAUUAUAUAAGGCAUUGGGUAACACCACCAGGUCAACGGUCAACCCCAUCAGGUUAUUAGCGGCGACGUCGCCGCUAAUAGUGGGACCCCCGACAGACUUAUAGCGUGACUGACAAAGCAUGUGGUUGAUGAAAACGAGGCGCCACGUCACCGACAUUAGCGGCGACAGUGCCAUAUCGACUUUGGGAAUGAUAAUUUGCCAUACCGAACAAGCCAUUCUUUGAUAGGAUAAAAUGAUGGCAGCCCAUCAUUUUCAGAUACUAUAUAUUAUGCGGAACUAUAUUGAAACAAUAAAAGUUUCUGAAAAAAAUUUCUUGAGUGUAGAUAUAUAUUUUUUCAAACGUAUUGUUUCAAGCGUAUUGUU